rnacentral:tRNA from 1 species
UGCGGUCGAUGGCCUGGUAGAAGAGGCCGUUCAUGCCGGCCAUGGUGACGCCGAACCAGAACACGGUGGUCCAGUCCGCCCGCGCGUAGCC